rnacentral:misc_RNA from 1 species
GUGUCCGCGGACGUCGGAAUUCGCCGGGCCGUUUUCAAAUGGGAUUCGUCGGGGUGGCGCACGUUGCACCUGGUCAUUCGAAUUCAGAGGACGUUGGUAACGACUACGAGAGGCUCUCUGAAACGAAAAUCGAGAGUCAAUAAUUAUCGACACCUGGAGACGAGGCUGUGGAUCCACCGGAAGAAGAGCAACGGAAAACGAAAAACGUAAAACGAAACGGAACGCAAGGAAAGAAGAGGAGUACAAAAAUGAGGAUAACGCGAGUCGAACCAGGGGUAUCCCGAUCGCGCAACAAGUCCGGCGAAAGUAGAUCUAACAGAGGCGGGUGUACGGCGUAGCUGAUAAGCCGAGGAAAUAGGAGAUGGAUAAUUCUCGCCUGUUUGGUCGACGUUUGAUUCCGUUAUAAGAGGAGGCCGAGCACCGCGUCCGAGUUACAUUCGAUUCGCCGUGCGUGACAUACGCGUCGUCGAUAACCGGCGAACGUUUGCCGCUAACCGAACGAUUCAUAUGCGCGAGAUCUCGUUGUUAAUCUCAGUUACAAGAUACGCUCGAAUAAAUUAAUCGAAUACAUA